rnacentral:rRNA from 1 species
UACGUAGGGUGCAAGCGUUGUCCGGAAUUAUUGGGCGUAAAGAGCUCGUAGGCGGUUUGUUGCGUCGGCUGUGAAAUCCCGAGGCUCAACCUCGGGUCUGCAGUCGAUACGAGCAAACUAGAGUGUUGCAGGGGAGAAUGGAAUUCCUGGUGUAGCGGUGAAAUGCGCAGAUAUCAGGAAGAACACCCGUGGCUAAGGCGGUUCUCUAGUACGGUACUGACGCUGAGACGCGAAAGCGUGGGGAGCGAACAGG